UACGGGAGGCAGCAGUGGGGAAUAUUGGACAAUGGGCGGAAGCCUGAUCCAGCCAUGCCGCGUGUGUGAAGAAGGCCUUUUGGUUGUAAAGCACUUUAAGCGAGGAGGAGGCUCUCCUAGUUAAUACCUAGGAAGAGUGGACGUUACUCGCAGAAUAAGCACCGGCUAACUCUGUGCCAGCAGCCGCGGUAAUACAGAGGGUGCGAGCGUUAAUCGGAUUUACUGGGCGUAAAGCGUGCGUAGGCGGCUGAUUAAGUCGGAUGUGAAAUCCCUGAGCUUAACUUAGGAAUUGCAUUCGAUACUGGUCAGCUAGAGUAUGGGAGAGGAUGGUAGAAUUCCAGGUGUAGCGGUGAAAUGCGUAGAGAUCUGGAGGAAUACCGAUGGCGAAGGCAGCCAUCUGGGCCUAAUACUGACGCUGAGGUACGAAAGCAUGGGGAAGCAAACAAGGAAUUAAGAAUAACCCGU
rnacentral:rRNA from 1 species